rnacentral:rRNA from 1 species
UACAGAGGGCGCGAGCGUUGUCCGGAAUCACUGGGCGUAAAGGGCGCGUAGGUGGCGGCAUAAGGCCGUGGUGAAAGUCUGGGGCUCAACCCCAGAUCGGCCCAUGGCGACUGUGUCGCUAGGGUACUGUAGAGGCAGGUGGAAUUCCGGGUGUAGCGGUGGAAUGCGUAGAGAUCCGGAAGAACACCAGUGGCGAAGGCGGCCUGCUGGGCAGUGGACUCGAAAGGGUCCUUCAACCGACACUGAUGCGCGACAGCGUGGGGAGCAAACAGGAGUUAGAAACCCU